GGGGUGGGCUCAGCGGUAGAGUGCUCCCUAUCACGUGCGAGGCCCUGGGUUCAAUCCUCAGCACCACA
rnacentral:tRNA from 1 species